rnacentral:rRNA from 1 species
UUACCAGGCCUUGACAUACUCGGCAAAGCUCUAGAGAUAGAGUGGAGGUUAUCCGGGGAUACAGGUGGUGCAUGGUUGUCGUCAGCUCGUGUCGUGAGAUGUUGGGUUAAGUCCCGCAACGAGCGCAACCCCUGUUGUUAGUUGCCAGCGAUUCGGUCGGGCACUCUAACGAGACUGCCGGUGGUAAGCCGGAGGAAGUGGGGAUGACGUCAAAUCCUCAUGGCCCUUAUGCCCAGGGCUACACACGUACUACAAUGGUCGGUACAAAGGGCUGCGACCCGCGAGGGUGAGCCAAUCCCAAAAAGCCGACCUCAGUUCGGAUUGUAGGCUGCAACUCGCCUACAUGAAGUCGGAAUCGCUAGUAAUCGCGGAUCAGCACGCCGCGGUGAAUACGUUCCCGGGCCUU